rnacentral:rRNA from 1 species
AUAUCAGUCAUGCAUAGCAUAUCAAUAAGCGGAGGAAAAGAAACUAACAAGGAUUCCCUUAGUAACGGCGAGUGAAGCGGGAGGAGCUCAAAUUUGAAAUCUUCAAGGUUCUACCUUGACGAAUUGUAGUUUAUAGAAGUGUUUUCUGUUAGUAGAGUGGCAAAAGUUCUUUGGAAUAGGACAUCAUAGAGGGUGAGAAUCCCGUAUUUGGUCAUUCUUUCUAGCUUUGUGAUACACUUUCAACGAGUCGGAUUGUUUGGGAAUGCAGUCCAAAAUGGGUGGUAAAUUUCAUCUAAAGCUAAAUAUUGGCGAGAGACCGAUAGCGAACAAGUACCGUGAGGGAAAGAUGAAAAGAACUUUGAAAAGAGAGUUAAACAGUACGUGAAAUUGUCAAAAGGGAAGCGUUUGACACCAGUGUUGUUUUUCUCGAAAAUCAAUUACGAAUGUUUUGUUUUUGAGGAGUUAUGACUUCAUCGGCUUGCUCCUUUCUUUACGAAACUUUCUUAAUGCACUUUUCGGUUAACAAGUCAACAUCAAUUUCUUUUGUUGUAAAAGGGUAUGAGGAAGGUGGCUUUCUUUUCGGAGAAAGUGUUUAUAGCCUUGUGCCUCUGCAAUCGGAGAGAUUGAGGUCUGCAGCGUAGAUCCUUCGGGGUUAGAUACGUUUGUGCUAAGUUAUAGCUUUUCAUAGACAACUUGUUGACUAUGUUUAGUCUUGUAGCUUACUCGCUGAUGCUAUUUUACCUACGCUUAGGAUGUUGAUGUGAUACUGCGAGCA